UGAUUCCGGGAGUAGUGGCGAGCGAAACUGGAUGAGGCUAAACCGUAUUGGUGUGAGACCCGGCAGGGGUUGCCAAUACGGGGUCGUGGGAAUGAGCUUCAGUCGUCUGCCGGCGGCUGGGCGAGUCAGAAACCGUAUGGGUAGUCGAAGGACAUGCGAAAGGUCCGGCGUAGAGGGUAAGACCCCCGUAGACGAAAUCUGUACGGCUUGCUUGCUCA
rnacentral:rRNA from 1 species